UCCUGGAAUUUUAAUUACUCUUACUUUCACCUGUUCGAAUUCUACAUUGAAAUUGUUUUAUAAAACAGUGAUCAAUUGAAAGUUGUUAAUAAGUUGAAGAAUCAUUUGAGAGGAACAAAAGUGGAGAGGGGAAAACAGUGGCCUGUUUAUCGAAUUGAGUAGCAAUGACCAUUUUUUCAAGUUCAUGACCAAAUAAGGAUAUGUGUGACAUCAGAAUGUUAGAUAUAUGUAAAAGGUGAUAGAUAUAUGCAAAAGGUGAUAGAUAUAUGCAAAAGGUGAUAGAAUUUUGCUUUUCAAUCUGUGAGUUUCCUUCAUAUUCCAACAAGAGAGGAAAUGGAUUGAGGACAAGGAUUAUUUGAGGACUAGACACGGUCAGGUGAGACUCGUUGACUUUCUGAGGGGAGACAGGGCAGUACAAUGCAAUAUAAUACCACACAGUACAGUAGGAGAGAAAUGUAGCUCAUUUCUUUAAAAUAAUUGGUCUUGAAAUGUGCCUCUGAAGUAUUCAGAAUAAGUUUUUCCUUGCGCAUAUAUUUUAUUGACUUAAGGAAUGAACACUUUCAACAAUAUUUGCAUUUAAUUAGAAUUCAUGUCUACAGUUGCAUAUAGUAGCUAUGAGAUUGUAUGACGUCAUGUCAAAGGCUUUAUUCGUUGCUGUGUAAGAACCAGGACUGAUAAUCAAUCUCUAAUUCACUGGAAAAAACAUUGCACUGUGAAAUGUGCCCAGAAGUUUGUUUACAAUAAGUUAGCAGAGGCUUAUAUAAUAGUGGAAAAUUGGUUCUUGUAUUUCAUACAGUGGCAGUUUGAAAUGGCUUACAGUGAGUUGACUAAUCUCUCAGAACUUGACUUCGAAUUUCCAUUCUUAUGAAAUGAUCUAGCAUUUUAGUCUUGAAUGACGUAGCACUUUUCAAAGAAAGAAAGUUGUUUUUAUUAUAGUUCCUGCUACAGCUGCAGUGAGUAGUCAUUUAAGUUUUAUUAGUUGUUUACUGAAUCAGUACUGGGUAUUAAAACAAAUUUUGAAUGAAAUUUUUAAAAUAUUACUCAUUUAUGGUGGUUACUGACAUACAGAUUUUCUGCACGUACCUAAUUAUUCUUGUAUUAGUCCGUAAUGGAUAGUGCCCUGAAUAAAUGGGAAUUAGAGCUUCAUGAGAAUAAAUAUUACUAAUAUGUGGGCAGUAAUGGUUUACUUGUUCCAUACAGUUAAUUUUCCUUCAAUAGAAGUGCACGUUGACAACAGAAAACAAAGCAUAACCUAGCACGUUUUUGAUGGUAUAAGUUCAUGCAUCUGUAGCCGCUCUUUUUAGCAAUAUGUUAGGCAGAAGUCAUGUGUCAAAACAAGAACAGAAGCAGCACUGAUGUAAAAAUACACUUGAAUAUUUGAAGUUUAAGUAUGUUCAAAAAUUUCCUGAUGUUUUUGUGUAUUGACGUCUCCAGUUCAUGUUUUUACUACUUUGAAGUACACAUUCCUCUCCCAUUGUGAGUAGUGUUAACAUUUUUUUUUUUAGUUUAAAUUUCAGUAGGUGCUAUUUGGUAUCUUAUUAAACUUUUUGUGGGAGGUUUUGGUGCUAGAAAAUAGUUGUCAAUUUAGUUUGUGUAGUAAGUGAUCUUUGAGUACUUUAAAGUGAUUAAAAUGCAGAAUGAAAAGGGCUGUACUUAACCAGAAUGAUUAUGUUGCAAUCACAGAAUAGAGGCAAGUGUGUAGGUGAUUAGAUGUUUUCUUUCUCUUUUUUCCUUCAUAAUAGAUCCAUAGGCAUCACACUUCCUUAGCUAUCAUUAUUAGACCGUUUAUUUUCAGCAUCACCAUAUGACAAACAAGGACAAAAGAAUUCUUUUUGGUCUCAAACUGGGGUGCCCCAACAAAUACUAACUGUAUCAUGACUGUCAUUUCCUAACUCUAGUUAUGCUUAUGUAGUGCACAAACACUCGCUAUUUCUUCCUGUCAUUGCAUAAUUUUACAUACAUGACAUCAUCUCAGAUAUUGCUGUGCUAGUUCACAAUUUCCUAGGCCUCCCUCCCCCCACUCCACCCUUUUCCCCCCAUGUUCUUUACCUUGAUAGUUCUGCAGUGAUUUUUCUUUGUGUUUUGCUUUUGUCCAUUCUCAAUGAGGAGACCAUACCACUAUAGCAUGUGCUUUCCUGUAACAUUAGCAAUGUGAAUUUUCAUGUCAAUUUGUUCUUGUUCAUUUAAUUUUUGAUUUGUUCUUUCCUAUUUAUGUUGAAACUGAAUUUCAUUUCUAACAAUGGAAACUCCAAGUUGGAAUAUUAACAAUAAAAGGAAAAGAUAGAUUGCUACUCACCAUAAAGAUGGCACAAUGAUCUGUAGAGAGGUGCAACAAGAAGAUGCCCAAAAGCUACAUAAAUGUGUAACAGUCUUUUUCGUUGUACCUAUCAGCAACUUAACUUGUCAUCUUUAUGGUGAGUAGCACGCUGUCUUUUUCCUUGUAUUGUUGACUUUCAUGACUUUAACUUAUAGACGUGUUUCUUACUUUGGAAGGUAUGUUACCAUCAUAUUGUUUCUUUAUUAUAUAAAAAGUGUAGUGUCACAGGUAUUUAUAGUAAUAUUUUCAUGCUGUAGUGUAUUUUCUGAGAAAAAUAGAUGAAACACUUGUCAUGAAUGUUUGGGUCUCAUUUUGACAUUGCAUAUUAUGAGUCCCAAUGGAAUGGCUAAAAUAGCUUAAAUAGAUUGUCAGAAAGUGGUGUGUGUAUUCUUAGCCAAAAUUUAUUGCAAUUUUUUUUGUUUGGAUGUAUUCUUGUGUCGGGGAGGAUGACAUUUUCUUGAGUGGUGUGUUAUGUACUCAUCUCUGUGUCUUAUUUUUUACAUGAAAGUUAAUUGACUUAAAUCAAACAUUUUCAUAUUUGAAUAGUGAUGUACAGGUGAGUCUCUUUUAAUACUUAAUGCAAAAUUUGAAUAUUUGUGCAAUGGAAAUGGCUGUUAGUGCAUGGAUGGGUCAAGUUACAAAUUUGUAAUUGGAAGUAGAUAAAAAUUAUAUUUUAAGAAUCCCUGUGAAAACUGUAAUUUGUAUUACCCAAUAUUAAAUACGUUCUGUACAACAUUAGUUCUUUCUUCUGUAAACUCUAAAGAAACAAGAUCAUAAUAAGGUAUGAAAUUUCUUGUUAAGCUGCUGUUAUGUAAAAUUGGUUUUUGUCAUUUAGCUGUAGUUAACAAAAACUGAAAGUGCGUAGGCUAAUUCCAUGAACCCUUCAAACAAUUUGUCUUGAACUAUAGGUAAACUGUUAACACACUAACUUUCUGAUUCAUUCCUUCACUUAUGUAUUAUUUGGGUAUAAUUAUUCUCUUCCCUCCCGUGUAUCUAGUGUUGGGUGGUGUUGGUUCUUAUUGUUGAACCUUUUACUAGAAAAAAAUACGGACUUUAGUUCAUGAAACUGAAAAUACAGAAUGAAAGUUCUGGUGAUGAAUUUCAAAAUUUAUUUUACUGAUUGUAAAAGUCUUCUAAAAACAUCAAAUUGUGAGGCAAAGCAGAGGUAAUAAACUGUUACUAAAGAUAUAAUUGUGAGACAAUUGUUUGUUCAAAGCAUAAAUAACUCCAUCCUGAUAAAGUACAACAAAGUAUUGAAAGUAAUUCAGAAAAGAAUGUCAGUUGGCACAUCUUAUUAAGUUUCUGCAUUGUUUUAAUAUCGUGAAAACAUUUGAAAUUGUGAUCAAACAAAUGUGGGGUUCGAUUUUUGCAUGUUCGUCACAAUUUUAUGAUUGCAACGCCUGUUUUUGAACAUUCAUUAGAAUAUAUGAUUGAUUUAUUAUUAUUAUUUUGUGGGGUGGGGGGAGUGUGAAUACAGUCAAAGCUAAAAGCAAAAAUAUAUUGCAGUAUAUCUCUUUUUCAAUAGAAAAACAUUGCUAAUUUGUAUGCCUGAAUGUUUGCCAAAUUAUUUUUACAUGAAUAGCAAAAGAAAGUCCUCAUGUGUACGGUUUGGUAGUGUUGGAAUCAUUGUGUGUAGUUCUACGAUAUGAAAGCAGAAUGUGUCUUCUGGUGUGGAAAUUCAGUGUACUACUAACUGUAGUGCAAAAGUGGUGACUGCAUGAUAAUAUGUCAAAAUAAAUUAUUAUUUAAUAUUUGUGCUGCUGUAUGUAUAAUGCAGAUGACAGUACAUAGUUAUGUUGUUUCAUCCACUAUUUUAUUUUCUGUUCUGCUAACAUGCCUUCCAAAUAUUUAAGAUUUGUUUAUUUAGUUUAAAACACACAAAAUUAUUUUAUUGAAAUCAAGGAAGAAAUCGGGGAGAAACAAAUGCCUUUUAAAUAGAGAAAACAGACAAUCCAUGUCUAUGUGAUAACUGUUCAAAAGUAUUUUGUUCUCAUUUUUAAGUUGUGUGAUGUUGGGCAUUGGUUUCAUGGAAGGUAAAUCUCUGUGUUAGAACUAAAUUAUAAUAUUAUUGGUAAGAGUAGUAAGACAAAAAAUAAAUUUACCUUGAAAAAGUAUUAAUGACAUACAUUUUCUUCUUUAUUUCAGCAUUUCAUAAUCUGUUUUCAUUCAUGUGUGAUAUUUCACUCUGCCUUCUUUUUCCAGUUAGUUUUAAGUGCUUAACUUAGGACUUGUGGAAUGGUCAUAACUUUUAAUAUACUGUUUCAUUAAGUUGCUCCCUACUAAGUUUUUUCAUUUAUGCAAGAGAUAUAAUUUUAUUGCCAUAUUCACCAUCUUCAUUUCCCAGUACAAAUGUAUUGCUUCGUUUUGCUGUGAAUUUCACUCUCAUUAGCUUUUACUUGCAAUUAUACUUAACGUAUUUCACAUUUACUUCCAUUUGCUGCUGCAGAUGUAACAAUGCUUCAUAUCUCCGUUUUUUUUCCCCCCUCUGUUCUGAGUGUUUCAGAUUUUAUAGUUACAGUGUAUUAAAAGUGCUUCUGAGUCGCAAGAAGAGACUGUACUGGAACAGCUUUUUUUGUUCAUAAUACUCUUGGAAAACUAUCUGAAGUUUUCAGAGUCAUAGGUUGAAAUGUGGCCAAAUUACAUUAUUUUGUAUAGCCAGACUUUUAAUAAUGAAGUAUACUUUGUCAGUGAAUGUUUAUUGUAAAAACCACUUAAUUUUAUUGAAGAGGAUUGACAUCUCAGAAAAACUACAGUAGUUGUAAGCAUUUUGUGACUGCAAGUUGGAACUGCAAUUUAUGCUGUGAUAUAUGUUACUUAAUUUCACUGACUGUUGGCAGAUUUAUAUGUUUGCAAGUGUGUGUGUGUGUGUGUGUGUGUGUGUGUGUGUGUGUGUGUGUGUGUGUGUGAGUGAGUUAUGAUUUUAUGUUUUACUUAAGACAUUGCUUUAAAUAUAUUUGUUUGUAAUGUAAUUUACUGUAUUAUAAUUCUGAGGUUAUGAAAUCUUUUGAAGUACAACCAGUGACUACAGUUUUGCCCUAGCAAGCUAGGAAGUGAAACUUUUAAUAUCUUACAUGUUAUAAUUUUACAUGUGCAAAUACCUUGAUAAAAACUGUAAUUUUAUACCUGAUGAAUUUUUAUUUGACUAUUAAAUACCUGAGAAUACUAUUCAGAUAAUAAAAUUAUGCA